rnacentral:rRNA from 1 species
UUCCGGUUGAUCCUGCCGGAGGCGACCGCUGUGGGAGUCCGAUUAAGCCAUGCGAGUCGAGAGUCUUAGGGACUCGGCAUACCGCUCAGUAACACGUGGAUAACCUGCCCUGUGCUGGGGGAUAACCUCGCGAAAGUGAGAACAAUACCCCAUGAGUCACUACGCCUGGAACGGUGAGUGGCUGAAAGCUCCGGCGGCACAGGAUGGGUCUGCGGCGUAUCAGGUUGUAGGGGGUGUAACGGACCUCCUAGCCUUCAACGCGUACGGGUUGUGAGAGCAAUUGCCCGGAGAUGGAUUCUGAGACACGAAUCCAGGCCCUACGGGGCGCAGCAGGCGCGAAAACUUGACAAUGCGAGAAAUCGUGAUCAGGGGACUCCAGUUGGCUGGAUCAAAAGUCCAGUCUGAACCGACUUUAAAUCGGUCGGGUAAUAGGGGCGGGAAAGACCGGUGCCAGCCGCCGCGGUAAUACCGGCGCCCCAAGUGGUCGUCACUAUUAUUGGGCCUAAAACGUCCGUAGCCGGUUUGGUAAAUCCGUGGGUAAAUCAGACAGCCCAACUGUCUGAAUUCUGCGGGGACUGCCAGACUUGAGACCGGGAGAGGUACGGGGUACCUCCGGGGUAGCGGUAAAAUGCGAUCAUCCCGGAGGGACCACCUGUUGCGAAGGCGCCGUACUAGAACGGAUCUGACGGUCAGGGACGAAGCCUAGGGGCACGAACCGGAUUAGAUACCCGGGUAGUCCUAGGUGUAAACGCUGUGGACUUGGUGUCGGGACUCUCAGCGAGUUCUCGGUGCCGGAGUGAAGAUGUUAAGUCCACUGCCUGGGGAGUACGGUCGCAAGGCUGAAACUUAAAGGAAUUGGCGGGGGAGCACCGCAACGAGAGGAGCGUGCGGUUUAAUUGGAUUCAACGCCGGAA